AGCUUGAUGGCAUAGUUGGAACGUGUCCUGCCUUAGUGCUCUUGCACAAGCACCCUUUUGCAGGAAGCCUGGAGUUCAAUUCUCCGUCAAGCCA